rnacentral:rRNA from 1 species
UACGGGGGGGGUAAGCGUUGUUCGGAAUUACUGGGCGUAAAGGGCUCGUAGGCGGCCAACUAAGUCAGACGUGAAAUCCCUCAGCUUAACUGGGGAACUGCGUCUGAUACUGGAUGGCUUGGAUUUGGGAGAGGGAUGCGGAAUUCCAGGUGUAGCGGUGAAAUGCGUAGAUAUCUGGAGGAAUACCGGUGGCGAAGGCGGCAUCCUGGACCAAUAUUGACGCUGAGGAGCGAAAGCCAGGGGAGCAAACGGG